UUUUCCAGAGGGAUUUUUUUCCAACACUGUGCUGUAAAUUCCUUAUCAAGAAGUAACAAAGAAAGAGAUUUCUCUUUUCAGAACAAGACAGCAGCUUUGGUAAUGCCUUCAUUCAUUCAGCUUCUAAUUCCAAACAUCAUCCAUCAUGCUAUACGUCCCUUACACUGGACUGCAAAAAACAUACCACAAAUUCUACAUGGAACAGCAAUGCAUCUUGAACAAAGCUGACUAAACUCAAAAUUCAGUUUUCAGCAACCGUGUGUUAAAAAGAAAAUCAAUGAAAGAAAAACAGCGAGCUCUACUGAACAAACAUCCUGCAGUUAAAAAAAAUAUGUUUUGAUUGAUGAAGGAAAAAGUCGUGACGUUUUAGGUGGCCUUAAAGAAAUUUCAAGGAUCAUAUUAGAAAGAAAGCUGGCAUUGUAUUAAAAUAUAGUUAUCCCAAGGGAUAAAUGGAAUAUACUGGGGAACCAGGACAUAGACUGGCUUUACCCUUUUCUCAAAGCAGUUCAUUAAAUCUUGCUUUCUUCAUCUAAUGUCCCCAGGUGGGGGAGUUUACCUUCAGGAUCAUCAACUUUCUUGGUUGUAAACCAACUCUAAUCCACUUCCUUGAUCCGCCUGCAAUCGAUUAAUGCCAUGCUAAUCCUGUCCUGGCCAGGCACAAUGUGGAAAAGUAAAUGUACUACAUUUUCUACAAGAAAAGUAUUCAGGAAUCUAGAUCUCAAUCCAAGACACUUUAACCUGUGUGGAAGGGUCAGGACAAAACACCCAAUAAGAUUUGCUGAGCUGUGAUAUCUACAGAAACAGCAAGCAUUUUACCCAUGUGAUGCAUCUUUCUUGAGAGACCAAAGCAACUGUCAGAUCAAGCAUUUCAAGACACGUCAUUUCCAGAAGAGAGGGGUUAGACACACUCUUGAUCGUGUGCUUCUGUUUAUUCUGGCAGCAACCUGAGCACAGGGUGAUGUUUCCUGAGGAAUUUCUGAGAGGCGCCUAAGAGAGAUGAGAAGCUGUAGGUGAAAGGGGUCACUUGAUUACUGCUGGGACCACAACUUUGCAAUGGGAUGGCAGGACUUUGUGUGACCAGGGUCAUCUCAAGCUCUGAAGGAGCAUUUCCCAGUGUUUUAGUUCUUUUUGCCAAAUUCAGCCCUAAUGCAAAUGAGACCUGUUCUGCUAAAGCUAUGCAAUGGAUACAAACUUGCCUCUGUCUCAGAACCUAUGAAACAACUGAAAAUGGAUAAACAGCUUGGCCUUCUCUGGCCUUCCAGUAGUCCUUCCCUUACCCACAAGGAUUGUCUUUACGUGAGGUAUUAUAAUACCAGUGUGUAUAAAUCACUACAGGAUAAACUAAGACUCUUUGGCAUCCUGAGCAUAAAGACCAGGUUUAAACUUUAGACACCCACAUGCCUGAAAUCAGUGUGGGCCUUUGCAGUGCCUGCAAUGCAAGCUUUGUCUUCUCUUUGAGAUGGAAAAAACCUUUGUAGUGAAAAUACAAGUGGAAGCUAGGUCAUGUUGUUGUUCUGGGAAAAGGGAGAAUUUGAAAACACAAAUACCUUCUGCAAGUUAAGAAUGAUUCCAUUGAUCUAUAAAAUUAUCUUAGUGCUGAUUUGUCUUACUGUGAGCUAUUUGUGUGUGUGUGGACAUGAUACCUUGGCGUAAUAUUUACUGAGUGCAAGAACAUUUUUAUCAUAUGCUUAGCUGCUGAAGUGAUAUAACUGCUAGAUUUACAAAGUCAUUAACAGGUUAAUGGUGGUAGUGGCCAAAAAAGGGCUCACAAAAUGCUCUCCUAAUUGCCUCCUUCCCAAAACCUUCUCAAGUGUGGAGAUGUCUCAGGACUGCAAGGAGAAAGUUAAGCUUGUAUCCAGUGAGGCAAGAGAUGCAUGUCCAGCCCCAGGGCAAAAAUGUGCACGUUCAUCCCAUAUCACGUGGGGCUGGGAGGGAACGGUGCCAGACCCUUGAGUCAUUCUGCAGUACAACAGGCAGAUUACUCUAAUACAAAAAAUGUAAACCACGAUAACUGGGAGCAGAUUUUAGCUAUGAUAGUCCAUGUAGCCUUCAAUGCAUGAAUUAAUUCUUUGAUGGAAGUAUGUGCUAUUUUCAUUGUUGACAGAUGAAUUUCUGUCCCUAUGGAUGGUUUUAUAAAAAUUGAUGAUGUAAAUAAAAAAUACUAACUUAA